rnacentral:rRNA from 1 species
GACGAACGCUGGCGGCGUGCUUAACACAUGCAAGUCGAGCGGAGCGGCGAACGGGUGAGUAACGCGUGUGUAACUGCCCUCCUCUCUGGGAUAACAGUUGGAAACGGCUGCUAAUACCGGACAGUGGGGGAUGGCUCCGGUUCUAUCAGCUUGUUGGUGGGGUGGUGGCCUACCAAGGCGACGACGGGUAGCCGGCCUGAGAGGGUGAACGGCCACAUGGGGCUGAGGUACGGCCCAAACUCCUACGGGAGGCAGCAGUGGGGAAUAUUGCACAAUGGGGGAAACCCUGAUGCAUCAACGCCGCGUGCGGGAUGACGGCCUGCGGGUUGUAAACCGCUUUCAGCCAUGACGCGGUAGUGGCAGAAGAAGCACCGGCUAACUACGUGCCAGCAGCCGCGGUAAUUC